CUCGUAGGUGACCUGCGGAGGGAUCAUUACAAGUGACCCCGGUCUAACCACCGGGAUGUUCAUAACCCUUUGUUGUCCGACUCUGUUGCCUCCGGGGCGACCCUGCCUUCGGGCGGGGGCUCCGGGUGGACACUUCAAACUCUUGCGUAACUUUGCAGUCUGAGUAAACUUAAUUAAUAAAUUAAAACUUUUAACAACGGAUCUCUUGGUUCUGGCAUCGAUGAAGAACGCAGCGAAAUGCGAUAAGUAAUGUGAAUUGCAGAAUUCAGUGAAUCAUCGAAUCUUUGAACGCACAUUGCGCCCCCUGGUAUUCCGGGGGGCAUGCCUGUUCGAGCGUCAUUUCACCACUCAAGCCUCGCUUGGUAUUGGGCAACGCGGUCCGCCGCGUGCCUCAAAUCGACCGGCUGGGUCUUCUGUCCCCUAAGCGUUGUGGAAACUAUUCGCUAAAGGGUGUUCGGGAGGCUACGCCGUAAAACAACCCCAUUUCUAAGGUUGACCUCGGAUCAGGUAGGGAUACCCGCUGAACUUAAGCAUAUCAAUAAGCGGAGGAAAAGAAACCAACAGGGAUUGCUCUAGUAACGGCGAGUGAAGCAGCAAUAGCUCAAAUUUGAAAUCUGGCGUCUUCGACGUCCGAGUUGUAAUUUGUAGAGGAUGCUUCUGAGUAACCACCGACCUAAGUUCCUUGGAACAGGACGUCAUAGAGGGUGAGAAUCCCGUAUGCGGUCGGAAAGGUGCUCUACACGUAGCUCCUUCGACGAGUCGAGUUGUUUGGGAAUGCAGCUCUAAAUGGGAGGUAAAUUUCUUCUAAAGCUAAAUAUUGGCCAGAGACCGAUAGCGCACAAGUAGAGUGAUCGAAAGAUGAAAAGCACUUUGGAAAGAGAGUUAAAAAGCACGUGAAAUUGUUAAAAGGGAAGGGAUUGCAACCAGACUUGCUCGCGGUGUUCCGCCGGUCUUCUGACCGGUCUACUCGCCGCGUUGCAGGCCAGCAUCGUCUGGUGCCGCUGGAUAAGACUUGAGGAAUGUAGCUCCCUCGGGAGUGUUAUAGCCUCUUGUGAUGCAGCGAGCGCCGGGCGAGGUCCGCG
rnacentral:rRNA from 1 species